AGCGAACGCUGGCGGCAGGCCUAACACAUGCAAGUCGAACGAACUCUUCGGAGUUAGUGGCGGACGGGUGAGUAACACGUGGGAACGUGCCUUUUGGUUCGGAAUAACUCAGGGAAACUUGUGCUAAUACCGAAUGUGCCCUUCGGGGGAAAGAUUUAUCGCCAUUAGAGCGGCCCGCGUCUGAUUAGCUAGUUGGGGCGGUAACGGCUCACCAAGGCGACGAUCAGUAGCUGGUCUGAGAGGAUGACCAGCCACACUGGGACUGAGACACGGCCCAGACUCCUACGGGAGGCAGCAGUGGGGAAUCUUGCGAAAUGGGCGAAAGCCUGACGCAGCCAUGCCGCGUGAAUGAUGAAGGUCUUAGGAUUGUAAAAUUCUUUCACCGGGGACGAUAAUGACGGUACCCGGAGAAGAAGCCCCGGCUAACUUCGUG
rnacentral:rRNA from 1 species